ensembl:lncRNA
CUUAUCAUUGGCAGCACAGGAACGUCAGAGGAGUGCUGCAAUUUAGGAAGAACUGUUGCAUUGCUGAGGAUAAAAGAUUUUCACUCUGCUUCCUGAAUAACAGUCUGAUGUUCAUUCUUAUAAAUGUCACAAGGCUCCCAUAGGACAACGGGACUUGUGUUGAUCUGUUUGUGACCUUCUGCAUGAAAACGAUCAAGACAGUUCUUCAGAUAAGGUCCCAUCAGCCUGAGGGGUGAAUACAGGGGUUACGACAGAAAUUAAAUUCCAAGAAGACAGUGAUGAAUGACUCAUAUCACAGGCCACAUGUCUUCAGUGUUAACUGCACUGACCUACUAUUUGCAAAAGCACUGCAUUCCUCCCAUAGAAAUGCUUUCUUAAAAUGCCAAUGCAAUUUAAAAAGAUGAACAAGGACAAGUACAAGAAGAAAAGAAUGCAAAUGGAUUGAGUCCUAUAUUUGGCUGGAGAGGAAGCAGCUGCAAUAUCAUCAUGCAUUCAUGCUUCAAGGACCCCAGAAAGUUUGAUGUUCGUUGUUUCUCUCUUUGCAAUCCUCCUCGGGAAGCACAACACAGAUGAGUAUAGAGACCAUCUGGAUGUGCAUGAUCAUCCGGAAGACUCCAGUUAUUUAAAAACCACAAAUGGUGUCAAAACAGGAAAAUGUACCAAAUGUUUGACCAGCCUGGAUUAUUUCGUAAAUGCUUCAAUUAAUUUCUCAGCUACCGCUCUGUGAAUAACAAGCCCA